AUUUUAAUGAAGGACUUUUGGCUACAUUCCCUGUGCAGUGCAAAGGUCCAUUGAGAGAACAAAUGCAAAACUGUUUGGAAGAGGAGAUGGGAGGCAGAAAGCUGCUGAAAUGGGGAAAACCACCCCAACUUCAUAGCUCACAGCUGCAGCUCAGAUAACUGUGGGGGGCUGGGUCCUGCACACUGCUCCAUGUCAGUCCUGACUGCUGGAGAGGAGCACUGGUGUUGGAGACCACCAAAAAAGGGUCAAAUAACCCUCUAGGGCUCAAAGUGUUUCCAAAAUGCCAUUCUCUUUCUCCCAUGGUUGUUUUAAAGCAGAGUUUGGUUUUGGUUUUCAGGGCUUUUUUUUUAUUUUCUACAUGAGGUUUUGGUUUAUAAUUUCCAAAAUCUGUAAAAUCCUUCCCCUUCCAUAACUCUUUAAAAGAUUUGUCCAUUACUAUCCACUAAAAUCAGCACAGUUUUAUUUUUGAGAUCAUGUUGUUAAUUCAGAACUAAAUGUGACUGUAAAUUAUCUCCUCCCAGAAUGAGCUUUAAUGUUUCCACCAACACCCUGUCCCUGCAGGCUUACUUCCAGAAGGGAAGGUGUGUUGCAAGUGAAGGAAUUGGAUAAAUAGAUUCUAAUGAGGAACCAUUUUUUACCUUUUCUUCAUUCUCCCAGUCCGUGUUGUUUUGGAAACAGUGCCUUCAGCCAUCGGAAACCUGGUGUUGCGGUUAGUGAUUUUUUUCUUUGCAAUUACAGCUCUGCAGAGGAUUGUGCCACAAAGCAUCAUUUUUCUUAAAGACAGGGUCAAAAUUAAUUCACUGUGAUAGUUAAAUUGCCCUGCGUGGCCAGGCAUUUAAUCCCGUGUAUAAAUCCUUAUUGAAGAGAGAGGGAGCAGAUUGGGCACGGCCCUCCCAGGCAAUCUGGGUUUCCCCCGUCUGUUGGAUAAGCCCUAAAGCAAACCCCAAAAUUGGAUGGAGUCCCCCCAGCCCCGGCUAGGAAGGCUUAGAGUCCUCAUCCAGACGCUCACCAAGACCUUGAAUUCCUGCCGGAAGGGGCGGGAAAAUAAAAAUAAAAAAAAAAGGGGGGGGGGGGGGGCUAAGUCGAAGGAAGUAGGGCACGGGCAGGAGAGCAGGGGCAAGGGCUGUUGCCCCCACCUCCCCACCCUGUGUCCGUGCAGAGCCGCGGGCCGCGAUUUUUCCAGGAGCGGCGCGGUUUGGGAAGGGUGAGGUGGGGCGGGGGUCUCUUCCUGGGAUCUCCCGGCUUUCGGGUGCUCCAUGCCACAAGAAGGGAGGGAGAAGCCCCAGCUCGGAGGCCAGGUGAUCUUUCCUUCCCUGAGAGUGCUACGGUCUUUUUGCAUUUAAUACCUAAUAUUCAAUAUUCCCGUCUCCCUCCUCCACCGCACGUAGAUGUGUGCAGCCUGUGAGCAAAGUGCACUGCAGGGAGGUGAGGAUUUGUCCUUUGAGCCUGUGAGGACCGAGCUGUGCGCUCCUCAACGGCAAAAGCUUCGAGACCGGCUUGCAAACGCCGAGUUGCAUGCACUCAGCUGGGGGUCAACUUUCGCAAAAGGACAUUUUCUCCUCUCUGUUUUUCAGGAUAGGUUUUUGUGCUUUGGCACAACCACAGGCUUCCGCUUCAUCUCCACAAGAGCUUUCUGAGAACAGCGACCACCCCAAAAAUGGGGAAGCUGGAAAUAGAGGUGUCAGCAAGCUGCGUCGGAAUCAAGUGAGUGGGGAGGAGCGAAAGGAGAGUCGGCGUUAGCUGCGGCCGCAUGUCCUCAAAUUAAAAAAUACAUAUCCACCCCCUGCAAACCAGUGAAGUUUCCCAUUAAAGUUGACACCAGGGGAUGGUCUUAGCAGUCUCGUCCGCCUCGGAUUGGUGAGCCCUCCGGAAGCCUCUUGCACACGCAUUUUUUAACAGAUAAGUCGCCAGAGACUUGCCCCCUUCUUCCCUCCACCUUAUCUCAAAAUACCUUUUUGCAAAGCCCGAGCCCUCUCCCCUAGCCGUGCUGGCAGCUGCCUUUUCCUCCUCUGCCUUCUACUCUCCGCUCAAGGUUCCUCAUUGCAAAGAGGUGUGUGUGUGCGCGUGUGUUCCUCCCCUUGCACCUUCCUUGGGGUGCAAAUCAGCCGGGACUGAUUCCCCGCACCCUGCUUUCCCCACCGAGCCCGCAGGUUCCCAGGAGCCGCUUGAGCACGUUCCCCAGCUGCAGGCGGCUGUCUCUGGGAAGGUGGCUUCGCACCCGCUGGGUCGCACGCUGCAAGUGGGGAUUUUGAGGUGCCCGUUGUGCUGGACCCUGAUUGUGGACCGGGGGAAAGUAAAAAAGAAGAUGUCCUUUUGCGGCAGGAAGCUCCAUCUUUAGACAGGUCUAAAGAUGCUAAAACAUCACAAGAAAUCUAAGAGCCUAGCAUUUGGAUGAGAAGGAAGGUUACUUGCUAGACUUGAAAUUAGAAGUCUGUUUCGACAAGAUUGCCAAGGCCACUUGCUGAGGAGGACUCAGCUUUUUAUGCUGCCAUGUGUUUCUCUCCGUGUGCAUAAACUUGCGUCCAUCCGCAGAGAUGCAGAGAUAGGAAAGCAGUUGUGCCGUAAUGAGUGAAGCACCCCUGCCGUUCCCCGUCCCAGGGUAACGAUGCCGUUUUGGGUCCGGGACCCUGCAGCCGGGCCGGGCUGUGAAUCCGCGGCAGGGGCAGAACACCUGGAAUGGGGCUGAGUUCAACCGUGAACCUGCAAAGGCAGCUUCGGCAUCUCCAGACACCCUAAAUUAAGUUCGAGAAUUUGGAGAAAAUGCUUACGUCUUUGCUCGCUGAGGAGAUGUGUUUUCGUUUUGCUUCUCUACACAGUCUACAAUUCCAGUUCGCCCUGAAAAGAAAUAGUUAUUGAGAAAGGUGUGACCGAGCUCACUCCAUCUUUUUGUUCCUAUUAAUUGAAAACUUCCAGCAGUGAGGGGGACAUUAUGUUGCCCGGAUUCUGUUUUUAUUACAGGGACUUUGCAUAGUUUGCUUUCCUUAAUUCCGCAGGAAGUGGGUGCCAAGAGACAGAGGAAAAGACGCUCCCGGUGCGCUGCAGGGGCACGCGUGAGCCAGUCCUUUUUUUUGUUGUUGUUGUUUUCCUGGACUAAUGACUCCGUCUGAUUGCGGGUUUAGUCUAUAAAAUGACGGUCUCCGUCUCUCCUUGAUCUCAAGAAGAGCCUGGACGGCCACUCACACUGAUAUCCGGAGGGGACAAAACAGAACGAAAAAGCAAAACCUCCAGCCCAGUCCCGACGGGGAGGGCCGGCGGUCGGGCCGAGGGGCUCCUAUUUUACCCCACCUCGUGUCUCCCUUGCCCGGAGGGAAAGUUUUCUUCAGCAAGCAUCCGGGGCGGUGCUGCCCUCGGGACUUGACUUCUCCCCAUCGGAGCAGAUCGCUGAGCUCGCGUACCCUGGCGAGGAGAACCGCACAAACCGGAGUUUUUGCAGUUUUUGGCCGUGUUUUAGGCGGCCCACGGCUCAGUCUCUCACUUCACUUUGGAGCAGGACCCAGGACUUCUGUCCCCUCAACACCACGGGGCCGCCGCAGGGUGGCGGGGGGGGGGAUCGCUGCCCUCCUCGUACCAGCUCCUCUCCGUCGGCUCCCUCCCGGUCACCUUGGCUAGAGGCUGUGGCACCCUGGAUGCCCCGCGCACUCCCACCCCGCCCCAGAAUUACAGGUGUAAACCUGGCUCCCAAGAGCCCUACCGGGCUUCUGCCCCAACAUGGAACAUGCCGUGGGGAGUGGGCUUCUGAAAAAUGACUUUAAUGCAGCCUUCCUUAAGGCAGAAUGACUAAUUUUUAUCCCCCCAAAAUAUUUUCUCUCUUUACCUCUUUGCUUUUCCUUUCUUUCGCAGAGAGAAAGAGAGAGGGAGGGAAGGAAGUAAAGAAAGAAAGAAGAAAUAAAGUGAAAAUGUUUGUGUUCUAUUUGUCAGAGGAAACAAAGGCUGCACCUCUAGGCAGCUGGCUGGCGCGGAGGGUGGCCGGGCCGGGGGCAGAGCGGCUCCCGGGCUGAUCCCGGCCAGCGAGCGCCGCCCCGAGGCCACCGAGCCGCCGGCUCCGCUGCCGCCCGGAGCGGCAAAACGCCCAACGGAGGGUGGCCGGCAGGCAGUCCCGGCUAGUUUCUGCCGUGGACAAGUGGUUAAAUACAGCCUCAGUCAGCGAACGGGAGAUAACUUUUUAAUGAUUAUUAUUUAUUGCUUAUGGUUUAUGCUUUUUUACCGGAAAUAUAAUGAUUCAAGCUUUUUUUUUUUUUUUUUUUUUUUUUCCCAAGGGGUGGUUAAGAAAUAUCACAGUGCAGUUUUCCUCGAAUUGUUUUGUAUCUUUUGGUCUGAUGGAUAGCAAGAAAAAAAGAGAGAAAGAGCCCACACCGAGCUGUUUCCCAUUCACAUGCAGUCCAGUGAGGUGGAGAGGGAGGACAGAAGGAGGGAUUAAGGCCAAAUUUUUAAUCUUUUUCCUACAACUGCGACAAGCACUUCCCGUUUGUAACGUGUUCUUCUUGGGAAUAUCUGCAUGAUUCCUAAGGAGCAAACACCAAAUACUCCCAAAGGCUAACGCUGAUGAAUAGAAACUGUGAAAAACAGCUGCUAUAAACACAUUUUAAUAAAAGUAUUGCUUUGUGAGCACCUAAGUAAGUCACAAAGAAUCCCGUAAUGAUAUCUUGAGAUUCAAUGCCAUUUCACUUAGAUAAUCUUUAAUAGAUUUUUCUAUAAUGUAAUGGUGCAUGCGUGUGUAAUGGAUAUAUACACAUAUAUAUACUGAUAUAUGCUCACGCAAACACUUGAAAUCCCUCCCAUUCCAGCCUAUUAAUUAUUUUAGCACUUAUUCCCCUGACAAGCAGAAGUUAUCUUAUAGCUAAGACAUCCAUUUACUGUCUAAGAGCUCUAACUUGCCUUUGACGUCUAAAUUUAAGAUGUCUUUAAAACUUUAGCAACGUCCAGAAGGGGGAAAAAAAGAUCUCAUUGCCUUAAAAUAUUAUUCCAGCCAAAGAAUUAAAGCUAAUACAUCAGCUACUUUGGUUUUUUUCCCCUUUUUUUUCUUCCAUUUUUUAAAAUCAAUUGUUAUUUAUUUUAAACCUGAUCGUGAAAUUAAAUGGUACAUGCAGUUUUGUUUUUCAUGUUUAACUUGAGUGGUUUUCCUUAUUUAUGAUUUCCAUUUGCAGCUGGGGGAGGGCUUCAUUUCCUUUUCAAGUUGCAACAGUGAAAGCUCUGUUAUAUAUAUAUAUUCCUUCUGUUUGAUUUGUCUGAAAGAAAGAGCUUUUAGUAGAGCUUUUACUAGUAUGAGUUCAAGUCUGACUACGACUUUUGGUUUACAGAUAGUACUGGUAUAAAAAGUACAGUAGUGUGUCCUAGUGAGGUUUUUAAAUCAUCUUUGCAGGAAAUAGAAAAUAUAUAACAAAUUGUAAAUAUAUUGUAGAUGCGAUAUAUGUAAGUAUACUAGAUUGUACAUAUACAUCCCUGCAAACACAUCAUAUCUACAGACCACAGGAACGUGGUACUAUAGGUUCCUAAUUUAAUAUGUAAAUAUAACUGAAGUUUAAUAGUAAACUUAAAAUGCAUUCCCUCCACGAGUUUGAUUUAAACUUGAACCUGCAUAUAUUUGUGUACCAGAAUGGUGAGAAAGAGAAAAACGAUGAUUUGUGAAGUAAUAUAAAAAUCUAUAUUCAUUUUAAGCUGUACCCCUUACCAAGACACGGAAUCAGACGAUCUUUUCUCCCCUCGGGCAUUUAGAGACCUCUAACCUAACAAUAUAGAAGUAAAAACCCAAGCUGCACAACAUUCUCGCCCAGUAGAUUUUUUCCCCUUUCUAUUAUCUUUUAAAUGUUUGUUUGUUUGUUUGUUUGUUUUGCCGGGGGGGGGGCGGGGGAGGGAAGAGUUGUUCUUUGUGGGCUUGUUUGUUUGUUUUCUUAUUCUGCCCUGUCUUUCUGUUCCCCGCCCGAUGUGGUGUUAACUGUUUGAAGUUCAAAAACACGGCUAAGUUUUAUUGUAUUUCCGGUACAAUAGAUUUAUAUACCGUCUUAUCCAGUCUUUUAAAGGCUUUUCAAAUGAAAUGGAGUUAAGUUUUAGACAAGUUUCUGGCUCCUGCGUGCAUCUCUUGAACUCGGUGAAUUUGCUUCUUCAAUGAACUUUUAAGCUUCACUAAACAUGCACUUUCGGGACGGCUGACUUAUUGCCUUCUGUUUAGUUAUUUAAUCCACUUGAGGACAAAACCCGAUUUUACAAGACAAGGAAUUCCGUCCCCCCUCUCGACGCUCCCCCAACACACACACACGCUCCCUUUACGGAUUUUUAACAGACGGCAGCAUUCAAACUGAGAGCCAGCACAGGAAAUGGCAAAGGAGGCGCACCAGGAUUUUUUACAAGAAUAUAUUUAUUACAGGUAAGACAUAGCCAAUCUAUCUAGCAGACAGAGAACAGGUGUUUUGCUUCAAUUAACGUUCAAUAUUUUUAUCUAUACUUAUUCAGCACACUGAUAACAACGCGGCUGUUUAUCCAUCAGUUAGAUAAACACUUUUCCAUGAGCCAAGAGAGUUUAAUCUCCACAACAUACUUAAAUCAGCCUUUUCCUUUUCCAAGCUCUCAUAACAUAACAUUUUCAGAAUCCCUCUGAAUCUGUUGUAAAAUGGGUUGGUUAAAAACAAACAAACAAACACUGAUAGGCAAUAGAGCCGAGAAAUAUGACAACAUGAGCAAUCAGCUCGCAUUUCGUGUCUGAAAACAUGGGACCUUGAAAUUUAAAAACUCCCUGAGUCAUAAAGAAGUUUAAGAGAAGAAUAAAUACAAUAGAAAAGUUGGAAAAAGCAGGAAUUCCGCCCAUCGCUCUACACAACCGUCUUUUCUGAGAUGCACACUGUAGAAAAGCAGCGGUCCUGCCCCACUCUGCUCCCUGGUAUGAAUUCCUCUGCUUUUACUAGUUUAAAAUCAAAGGGUAUGAAGUGGAGUUACUUUGGAUUUACCCCCGCGAAAAGGAGAAGAAAGUU